CGAGCGGCCGAUGCCUGANUAGCUAGUUGGUGGGGUAAAGGCCUACCAAGGCGUCGAUCAGUAGUUGGUCUGAGAGGACGACCAGCCACACUGGGACUGAGACACGGCCCAGACUCCUACGGGAGGCAGCAGUNGGGAAUUUUGGACAAUGGGCGCAAGCCUGAUCCAGCAAAGCCGCGUGAGUNAAGAAGGCCUUCGGGUUGUAAAGCUCUUUCAGUCGAGAAGAAAAGAUUACGACUAAUAAUCGUAAUUCAUGACGGUACCGACAGAAGAAGCACCGGCUAACUACGUGCCAGCAGCCGCGGUAAUACGUAGGGUGCGAGCBUUAAUCGGAAUUACUGGGCGUAAAGGGUGCGCAGGCGGCUUUGUGAGUCAGAUGUGAAAUCCCCGGGCUUAACUGGGGAACU
rnacentral:rRNA from 1 species